AGUGAACGCUGGCGGCAGGCCUAAUACAUGCAAGUCGAACGGCAGCACAGCAGAGCUUGCUCUGUGGGUGGCGAGUGGCGGACGGGUGAGGAAUACAUGGGAAUCUGCCCAGUCGUGGGGGAUAACGUAUGGAAACGUACGCUAAUACCGCAUGCGCCCUACGGGGGAAAGCCGGGGACCGCAAGGCCUGGCGCGAUUGGAUGAGCCCAUGUUCGAUUAGCUAGUUGGCGGGGUAAAGGCCCACCAAGGCGACGAUCGAUAGCUGGUCUGAGAGGAUGAUCAGCCACACUGGAACUGAGACACGGUCCAGACUCCUACGGGAGGCAGCAGUAGGGAAUAUUGGACAAUGGGGGCAACCCUGAUCCAGCCAUGCCGCGUGAGUGAAGAAGGCCCUCGGGUUGUAAAGCUCUUUUGUCCGGAAAGAAAAGCAAUCGGUUAAUACCCGGUUGUUCUGACGGUACCGGAAGAAUAAGCACCGGCUAACUUCGUGCCAGC
rnacentral:rRNA from 1 species